UGGUCGCUUCUCGGGGUCCUUCCGACCUUCUGAACUGGGGGUGUCGGUUGGGGCGGGAGUGAGAGGUGUUGGUGAAAUCUACUUCCCGGGUGUCCCCUUCUGCCUUCGUUAUAUGGGAGAAUUUCACUUGUGGCUUUUGUGAGAAUUGCUGAGCAAUGCCUGCUCAAGUCCACCUGUCUCCAGGAAGGAAAUGUGGAGGCUGAAGUGAUGGCUCCAGGGUUGCUGACAACCUGGUCAUAGGGUAUCAUUUCCAUAAACCCAACCUGCUCACCCAUAAGGAGCUGAGGACCAAGAAGAGGAGAGUUCUAAUUGUCCAAGAAACCCGUUCAGGGCCUGCUAGGACCUUUUCCUGUGGGGAGGCCACACAGCCUCUACUAAAUGUCCUCCCACCAGGGGAACUGCCCCUCCUCAUGUGGCCCAAGAAUCUCCUGGACUCCACUCCACUCCUGGGGAUUCGCCCUUCCUACCAGAGCACUGCCAGAUCAAAAGUUUCAACUUAAAGCCAAAGAGACCACUGCAAAGCAGAAUAAACUUUGGGAAAAACUUCUGUCAGGAAAAGGGUAAGGCUCCCGAACGCCUCUCUCCUGAGGGUGCAUUGCUGGUUCUCUGCUGGGGUUGCUGUGACACAGAAGAGCAUAACCACCAGGGGAGACACUUGGGACCAAUGACCUUCACCCAGAAGACGUUGUUUCUGAGUCAGAGAGUCUCUGAGUAUCAUGAAUUUUCAGAACAUUCUAAACCAAUUUCAGUAUUUAUUUGUGGAGAGUUCCCACAGGUAAACAUAUCCAUUAAUACGACUUAGUGAAUGUUGACACAUAAUUCAGUUUUUGUUUAAAAUUAAAAAAAAAUGUUUAUUUAUGUUUGAGAGACAGAGUGUGAGAGGGG